GGACCGUAGCUCAGUGGUAGGACAUUUGCUUCGCAUGCAGAAGGUCCUAGGUUCAAUUCCUGGCAUCUCCA